UUAAGUCUUGACGAGUAAGAGGGUCGCGUCGGUGAGCGCAGAAGGGUCAGAGCGAGAGCUUACCUGGAGCCGCCGAUGGUGCAGAUCUUGGUGGUAGUAGCAAAUACUCUAGCGAGGGCCUGGAGGACUGACGUGGAGAAGGGUUUCUUGUGAACAGCCGUUGCACAAGAGUCAGUCGACCCUGAGCCCUAGGAGAAAUCCGAUGACGAUGGGUGGCUUGACAAUAUAUGCGAACACACAUGAUUGAGAACAACACUGUUUUCUCAGUGUAGACACACUAUAUAACAUAGACCACAGACUGUGUCUGUCGUUUAGUGCUGCACAAUGUGCCGCUUGCGACUGUACAGCUCCUAUUGGGCAAAAGGGAAUCCGGUUCCUAUUCCGGAACCUGGCUGCGUAACCGCAUCUUUGCGGGCACUUGCUUGCGAGCGCUCGUCGGGGUAACCCAAACUGGCCUGGAGACGCCGGCGGGGGGUCUGGAAAGAGUUUUCUUUUCUUUAUAAGCGUUCGAGUACCCUGGAAUCCUAUAGCAGGGAGAUAGGGUUUGGAACGCGAAGAGCACCGCAGUUGCGGCGGUGUCCGGACCUUCCCCCCGGACCUUGAAAAUCCAGGUGAGGGCCACGCGGAAGUCGCGCCAG
rnacentral:rRNA from 1 species